UACAGAGGGUGCGAGCGUUGUUCGGAAUUAUUGGGCGUAAAGGGCGCGUAGGCGGUCAGCACAAGUCAGUUGUGAAAUCUCCGGGCUUAACUCGGAAAGGUCAACUGAUACUGUGCGACUAGAGUGCAGAAGGGGCAACUGGAAUUCUCGGUGUAGCGGUGAAAUGCGUAGAUAUCAAGAGGAACACCUGCGGCGAAGGCGGGUUGCUGGGCUGACACUGACGCUGAAGCGCGAAAGCCAGGGGAGCGAACGGG
rnacentral:rRNA from 1 species